ensembl:lncRNA uncharacterized LOC114440086
UAUAUAUGCACACAAACAAGCUCAGGAUCAACCUGAAUCUGCACAUUGUAACAUUUUCUCAUCAAACAGACUUGUGACAGCAGGUUGUAGGUGGAAGAUAUGUGCUUGUGGCUCCAUUGAUGAUUAUCAACUAAAUAUGGAUAGAUCAGACAUUGGACAGUAUGUGAGAGACCUAUUGUCUUCUUUGGAGGAGAUGGAAGAACAUCUGGCACGCCUGCGGUUAUUGCGAUUUGGGCACUAUCUUGAGAAAAUCAACAGGAGCUCAGAUGAAAGGAGACGAUUGAUAAAGCUUGCAGAGGAAAACUGCAGGAAUCACACUGUCCUUCAGUGGCUGAGAGAAAACUCAGAGUCCGACACCUUCAUCAAACUGGUGGAAGUGUUCAAUUUCCUGAAAAAACACAUUGAUGAAGAAGAGAAGAAGAACCACGGUGACCAUGUGGACAUCACCUUUGUGGCACAUGGAGCAAUCAGAGACUUCAUGAUCCCAGCCAGCUGUCUGCUGCCUCUACCCACCAUCACUGACGUGGUGCUGUACGCUCCGUGGAACUGUGUCACCACCAGUACUGUAACAUAUGCAAUUGCCACAGGAAAAAUUCGGCCUGAGCACAGAGUUUUUUACUGUGACAAACGAGAUGACUGUAAAACACCUGAUGAAAAACAUCGACCCAUAAAUCUGCCAAACCACUGGAACUCCAUGAAGAUGGCUGGAGACCAGAUGAUCCCAAACAUCAUAGUCAGCCCUCUACAAGCAGACGAUGGUGUGUGGAAACAUUUUAAGUAUCUCACAGAAAAACAUGGUGAACUGGGCAGAAAUAAAAUCAUCAUCCCGUUCAUCCUACCAGAUGAGGAAAGCGACAGUGUUCCAUUCUCUGUGGUGACUUUGGCCCUCUCUCUGGUGCUCCUCACCUCCAGGUUCACAGCCACCGUCCACUUCGAUGCUUGUUUGGGUGACAGAUCUGCUGGACAGAGAUUUGACAAAGACUAUCUGCAGAGGCAGUACGCCUGUGCAAUUGACAACACUGGAAUGACAUUUUCAACAGACAUGUUAAACUCAACCUGCACUUUAUUAUAGGAGUUUGAACGGUUCUGCUUGUUUAUGUGGUAUUUAGUAGAAAACACAAGUGAGAGUAAGGAUACUGACGGUUGACACUGAAACAGUGUGAAUACAUUGACAUUCUCUGUAGAGUUCAGGAAUUACUGUAUUAAAUAAUAAUUGUGAUGUAGUUCCAAAGAAUGUUAAAUUACACUGUGAUUUUUUUAAAACCAGUUUUCACCAGCUGUGAACAGCCAGACUUGUUUUGUCAUGGCCGUUUUACUUGUUUGUGUGUAAGGGAC